rnacentral:rRNA from 1 species
AGGUCACUGCUAUCGGGGUUCGAUUAAGCCAUGCGAGUCGAGAGGGUUCGGCCCUCGGCGUACUGCUCAGUAACACGUGGAUAACCUGCCCUAAGGAAGGGGAUACCCUCGGGAAACUGAGGAUAAUACCCUAUAGGUUACCGAUGCUGGAAUGCUCGGUAACUCAAAGUUCCGGCGCCUUAGGAUGGAUCUGCGGCCGAUUAGGUAGUUGUUGGGGUAACGGCCCAACAAGCCCGUAAUCGGUACGGGUUGCGGGAGCAAGAGCCCGGAGUUGGAUUCUGAGACACGAAUCCAGGCCCUACGGGGCGCAGCAGGCGCGAAAACUUUACAAUGCGGGCAACCGUGAUAAGGGAACCUCGAGUGCCUGUACAUGCAGGCUGUCUGGGUGUCUAAAACACACCCAAAGAAAGGGCCGGGCAAGACCGGUGCCAGCCGCCGCGGUAAUACCGGCGGCUCGAGUGGUGGCCACUUUUAUUGGGCUUAAAGCGUUCGUAGCUGGGUUGUUAAGUCUCUUGGGAAAUCCGGCGGCUUAACCGUCGGGCGUCU